GAGUGGGAGGAAGGCAGGCUGGCAGCACAAGACCUCACAACCACAACUCCCAGACCCCACUACUGGUUCCACUGCUGGUCCUGAGCAGCAUUUUCUGCAGGGCUCAACAUGCUGCUGGUGGAAGGCUGAGAUGGGAGAUCAGCAGAGCUUCAUGACUGCCAGUAGCAAAUCCUGUAGAAAAAGCAAAGACAGAGUUGUUAAGGAUCAUCUUCUCAGAAUCAGGACUGGGAGUGGUGAGCCCUGGAGCUUCUUCCUCCUUUACCAGGUCUGCAGUGGAGACUAAUUCCUACAGCUGUGUGGAUUGUCAUCAGCCAUGCCCUGCACAGGAGCCAAACAUUACAGCCCUCUGUAAGACAACUUUUCAGACAGCUGCAUCUCACGUGGCCAUGAAAAUGGACCUGAUCUCACUGAAAGCUGGGUAAUGGGCUCUAAAAUCAUCAUUUCUUAUAUUGAAAAAUUGCUGGG
rnacentral:lncRNA from 1 species